AUUUAGGAGGCCAAAGCUGAAACUUGGAGUAGGUGCCUACUUAAUGGUAUUAAUAAAACAAAUGAAUUAGCCUUAUUUUCAAGGCUUUUAUAAACAAUUGUCAUUCUUUUAACCCGUAUUUGUGCCUUUUCACUUUAAUGCUAAAACUUUUAUGCAUAAACUUAAAAAAAAAAUCUUCCCAUCACCAAAUCUGGCUAAUAGUUUUCUGUUUUAGUGGCAUUAGCAACUGUAGCUACAUUCUGUAAUUAUAAUUGUCCGGUGUUUUUUUUUUGAAACACCCCUAAAUUUUUCUUAACCUUAAAAGAUUUUAGGUGUUUAAAAA
rnacentral:lncRNA from 1 species